AGCAGUACUGGAGCUGCUAAGGCUGUUGGAAAGGUGCUACCAUCAUUGAAUGGAAAGUUAACUGGAAUGGCUUUCCGAGUUCCAACUGUUGAUGUGUCCGUGGUUGAUCUCACAGUGAGAUUGGAGAAAGAAGCUACCUAUGAUGAAAUCAAGGCUGCUAUCAAGUAAGCUUGUCUACUCUACAAUCGAGUUCCAACGGUUGAUGUGUCCGUGGUUGAUCUCACAGUGAGAUUGGAGAAAGAAGCUACCUAUGAUGAAAUCAAGGCUGCUAUCAAGUAAGCUUGUUUACUAUACAACUUUACCAUUCCCUUUUCCUUGAAAAAAAUACAAAAAGCUUGUGUACAUUAUUCAAUCGGCAAUUAUACACUAGAAGUCUCCUGCUGUGGAUAUAAUUCAUGCCAGUGCUGCACGAAAUAAUAGAAAAGGCCUGAUGUCCUGCCCCUGUGAGCUGCUCAUUUAUGUUAAUUUGCU
rnacentral:lncRNA from 1 species